rnacentral:lncRNA from 1 species
AUGUGUGGAGUUUUGUUUCUGGUCUCCAACUGGGCAAUCUCAAAGAAUGGGAUUGUCCCAGAGGAGAAACCCCCGAGAACAUUACCGUCGGCUGCCCAUUUAAGCAGCCGGUGUGUGGUGGGAAGGGGUGGGAAGGGGAAGGCUGGAGUCCACCAGGCCAGGAGCUGCUGCUGGAGGAGGAAAGGCUGCCGCAACCUCUGCCCACCCUUGCAGACCGCAUGCCCUGCUGCGCCUGCUGCUAACCAAGAGGAACAGCGGCUUCUUAAAUCCUUGCCUACGAUGGUCCAGCAAGCCCAGACGUCCUGUCGCCUUCUCACCUCCUCUGCUGAGAGCUACAGAUCUUCCGAUGACAGACAAGGAGGGGAUGUGCGAAUGGUGUGGCAACCUGAUGCAGUAAGAUUUAUUAGCAAUCCAAUCGAAACAGGAAGAGCUGUGUACAGACAGGAGAAUCAGCUUGCUCAAGGUUACCCACCUGCAUUUCAGGACUGGAGUCUCCCUGUUUGUAUCUUAGCUGAUGAAAUUCAUGCAGACAAGGUUGUCUACUUUGGAUAUCACCAGAUUUGUUGAUUCUAGAACUUUCCAAAUGCUGAGCCAGCCAUUUCUACUUGCAAAUGAAGAUGUAGAACGCUUAUCUCCUCCUGCACCACGUCUGCCUGCAUGCUGCCCUGUCUCACCAUGAUAAUGGACCAAAUCUCUGAAACUGUAAGCCUCCCAGUUAAGUGUUUUCCCUUAUAAGAGUUGUUAUGGUCAUAGUAUCUCUUCGCGGCAAUAGAAACCCUAACUAAGACAACCUGGGAAUCUAGUUUGCUGUCUUUAGAUUUUUAAAAUAUGUCUCUUUCUCUCAAACAGACCAGGAAACUUCCACCCUGAAGACUUGCUUUCAUAGUGCCAGAAAGUGCCGUGCAGGCUGUUGGAGGAGAAAGUAUGUUUGCGCAGUGCUGGACUCUGCAUCCUUCAGUAGCUCCUGUAAGGCUAGGGGCAUGAUUGUUAUGGGGAAAGUCACCACCUUCUUACUGAAUUUGAGACCUGCUCUACAGGAGGGCAUGCCACACCGGCACCAAAAUACUGAUUAAAAAGCCUAUGUCUGGCAAGGGUGUAGGCUGUAACACUUAGCCUGCUCUUGUUAUUUUGCUCCGUGUUCAUGCCGUUAAACGUCCCUACCUAUACAUCUGUGCUGCUCUCAACCUUGUCCAGAAAAAGACUUUCUUUUCUUUUGCAACGGGCAGCAUUGGUGCAGGGAUGCUUAACUGGUCAAAGUGCUGAGACUAAGAGAUGAGUGCUCAGUCUUAAGUGGGGCAUCCUUACCAACUGACCCCAGCCCUUCACCCAGCCUGGCAAGACUCAGGGAGCACCUUGGAAGAAAGUGAACCCUUGGAAGAUGCGGAGGAGUGCUGUGAAAUGCUGUCUUCUAGCAUGAUAUGGCUCUCACACUCAUGAACUCACAGCCGCCAUGAUUAUCUGCACAAGAUGAAGCCAACUAAGAUGCCAGCGCAGAUGUGGGGUGCCUUUCAGGUCCCACUUUUUACUAACAGCUAGCAGCAGUUGAUAGAUGUUUGGGGAGAAGGAAUCCUUACCAUUUGAGAGUGGGCCUACUGGUAGAGUUCCCAUACUCCAGCGAUCACGUCAUACCUAUACACAUGACUAGCACCGACUGGAUUUAAUGAGCUAUCGGAGAAGGAGGAGGAGGACGAAGAGGAAGAAGGGGGAGGGGAGGAGGAAAAGGGGAGGAGGAAAUAAUUAAGUUGGAGGAGUACAUGUUGGGAGAGAUGGGGAGGGAGUUGGAGGAGGGAAAUGGGAACAGGCAGAUAUGGUUAUUUUUCAUUGUACACGUGUUACAUGUAUGAAAUUAUUAAGAAUAAAGAAAAGUUAUAAUAAAAAUAAUAUCUUUCC